rnacentral:misc_RNA from 1 species
AAGUCGUAACAAGGUUUCCGUAGGUGAACCUGCGGAAGGAUCAUUAACAAAUACGUUUUGUUGGGGAUUUGGGUUUAGUCCUAGGACCCCAAUCACAAAACAAAAGCUUGGUCUCUCAAGAGAUAGCAAUAUUUCAACAGAGACUGACUGAACAAGUAACCUGGGGUACUUUAGAGCCGGAGCCACCUUUUUGUUCAAAAGAGGUGCGUCUUUGACUUUAGAGCCCUCUAAUAAUCCCCAUUUUAUACCAUUUUACCCCUCUAAACUAUUAAGACUGAUAUGACAUGACUUCAUGUCACUUAUUAAAUCUUAAAACAACUCUUAACAAUGGAUAUCUAGGUUCUG